AUUGAACGCUGGCGGCAGGCCUAACACAUGCAAGUCGAACGGCAGCACAGAAGAGCUUGCUCUUUGGGUGGCGAGUGGCGGACGGGUGAGUAAUGUCUGGGAAACUGCCCGAUGGAGGGGGAUAACCACUGGAAACGGUGGCUAAUACCGCAUAACGCCGCAAGACCAAAGAGGGGGACCUUCGGGCCUCCCACUAUCGGAUGAACCCAGAUGGGAUUAGCUAGUAGGCGGGGUAACGGCCCACCUAGGCGACGAUCCCUAGCUGGUCUGAGAGGAUGACCAGCCACAAUGGAACUGAGACACGGUCCAGACUCCUACGGGAGGCAGCAGUGGGGAAUAUUGCACAAUGGGCGCAAGCCUGAUGCAGCCAUGCCGCGUGUAUGAAGAAGGCCUUCGGGUUGUAAAGUACUUUCAGCGGGGAGGAAGGCGAUGUGGUUAAUAACCGCGUCGAUUGACGUUACCCGCAGAAGAAGCACCGGCUAACUCCGUGCCAGCAGCCGCGGUAA
rnacentral:rRNA from 1 species